rnacentral:rRNA from 1 species
GUGUCAGCAGCCGCGGUAAUACGUAGGGUGCGAGCGUUAAUCGGAAUUACUGGGCGUAAAGCGUGCGUAGGCGGCGCGCUAAGACAGGUGUGAAAGCCCCGGGCUUAACCUGGGAAUGGCGCUUGUGACUGGCGGGCUCGAGUGCGGCAGAGGGAGGUGGAAUUCCACGUGUAGCAGUGAAAUGCGUAGAGAUGUGGAGGAACACCGAUGGCGAAGGCAGCCUCCUGGGCCGACACUGACGCUCAAGCACGAAAGCGUGGGGAGCAAACAGGAUUAGAUACCCUGGUAGUCC